CGUGGCACAGCAGUCGCUGCGAAGCCAGAGCUCCAGGUCCGGCGGCUGCGGAGCCGCGCUGUUUUCACCCUCGUCUGGGGCCGCAACCCUCUUCCCACGAACCGGAGUCAACCGGCUCCGCGGCUCGCCCGGGUCUCAGCCGCGGCGCAGUGCUGAGGCCUAAGGGGGCUCAAGGGAGCCUCCCACUACGAAGUCCCAGGAUAGGGGCGCUGGGAGGCGACCGUGGCCAGGCAGGGUGAAAGGAGAGACGGACAUUUCCUCCGAGGAGUGAGGCCGUGGGUCGGGCCUCUCUCUGAACUCUGAUCCGGAGUCCGACUCCUGGGUGCCGGGAGCGCCGCCGCCUGUGGUUCGUCUCUGCAGGUCACCGGAGCCUCCCGCCUCCCGCCCGGGCCCGGGAAGCCAAUCGCUCAGGAGCAGGCGGAGAUCCGGGCGGAGGAAGGGAUCGGGAGACCUCUCGGCUUCGGCCACACAACUGUCUCGAGCCACACAACUGUCUCGCCCCAGCGCUGCAGCAGGAUGGAGGAGCGGGAAGUGGGGGCGGCUGCGCAGGUUCCACCGCUUUCCCCAGGCUGGCAAGGUUUAUGAAUACUAUUAGAGAAGUGUGCGGGCGGAGUGUCUCCCGGUCUAGGUCAGGCCAUGCUCGGCUCGCAGAACUCACAAGAAGGCAAGGCCGCGUGAGGUCGGGCCUUGCAGCGUCCCCGCCUCUUGCUAGCUCCGCGCUGCUCUUCACCACUUUCGGGAUGACUGCUCAAUUUCUCAUAACCAUCUGAUAGCUCUCGUUUUCCCCUAGUAGAGAACAGCGCUGCUACAGCGACCUCGAGAAGGCAAGGGAGGAGCCAUAAACGGAGGGACACUACUGAGAGCUAGCAACACAUCACAAUAAAUACGCAACAACUC